rnacentral:lncRNA from 1 species
GGCAAAGAGCAAAAAGUUGGAAAGGAAGAAACUCAAGGAAGACUCCCUUUAGCUCUGACUAGAUAUUAGUGUGAACUAAAUUACAGAGCCGGUGACCAGACAUCAGGCAAUCAUUCCCUUGAACAGCAAACCCAGACAGAAGUUGAAAACUCUCAGGAAAGCUUGAAAGUUCCCAGGAUGAUGCGGACCAGGAAAAAUGUGACGAGUGCUACUGAUGAUGGGGGUAUAACUCCUCUAAAUCUCAAGAUGGCUCCCAGACUUCACAUGCACACUACAGGCAGAAAGAAGGCAGAAGGAAAGAGAUAGAACCAAAUUUGUCUUUCCCCUUUAUCAAGAGAGCAAGCAUUUUCUCAGAAAUCCCAGCAGACCUGUCACUUACAUGUCAUAUUAGAUCUUUUUCCUGUCUCAAGUCUUGUCAGUCAAUACUGCAGCAACCAGCAUCAAGCAGGUGUGACUCCAUUUAGCUUCACUGUGUAUUUGACACUUUCUGCCCGGGCAUCAUUAACUUAGCUCAUAGGGAACCUAUGGAAAUCUGCUACUCACUCAUGUACAAACUGAAACUAUGAAUAAUUAACAACCUAGGACAACACUGCUUGGCCAAUGGGGAACAGAAGCCAAUGACUAAAUUCUCCUCCUUUUCAUUUCUUGGGCAGAUGAUUUGGAGGCUUUUUCCAUGAAGUUCCUUAGAUGAUCCCAGUGUAAUGGGUUCCCAGUUGUCAACAAUGAUAUCAACUUGAAAAUUCACUAUUGCAUAGGCU